rnacentral:rRNA from 1 species
UACGAAGGGGGCUAGCGUUGCUCGGAAUCACUGGGCGUAAAGGGGGCGUAGGCGGGUCUUUAAGUCAGGGGUGAAAUCCUGGAGCUCAACUCCAGAACUGCCUUUGAUACUGAGGAUCUUGAGUUCGGGAGAGGUGAGUGGAACUGCGAGUGUAGAGGUGAAAUUCGUAGAUAUUCGCAAGAACACCAGUGGCGAAGGCGGCUCACUGGCCCGAUACUGACGCUGAUGCACGAAAGCGUGGGGAGCAAACAGG